CAUUUUUUAAUCUGAAAUUACUCAAUUCUGGACUUUUUUUGAAAAUAUCAAACCUAUUAAUAAAGAUAAAAUUAUUAUUUAAAUUACAAAAGUCCUCAUUUUUAUACCACCAGAUUUAACAAAGGUGUCAAUGAAAUAAAGGGGAGAUAAAGGAUGUAAAAUAUAAGAUUUGAAUUGCUGACCUCAUUGAUAGUGACAAUACAUUGAAAGGUAAUUAUUCCCAAAAGUCCUGCAUCAAUUAACAUGGAUCUAUAUCUUCUGUUGUCAUAGUUCAUAUUAUAAAUGUCCUAAGAGAAAAUAAACUUAAAAUACUUAUAAAAUUAGAAGAGGAAAGUAUACUAGAUGUUUAAAAAUAAAAAUUAUGAAUAUGGCAUAUGUCUUAUAUUGAGGGAAAAAUUGGAUAAAUGUACAGAAAAGCAAAGCAGAAAAAUGAUUUAACUAAUCAAAUAUAUGAUGUUCUA